rnacentral:rRNA from 1 species
AGCGAACGCUGGCGGCAUGCUUAACACAUGCAAGUCGCACGACCGGGUUUCGGCCUGGGAGUGGCGGACGGGUGAGUAUCGCGUAGGGAUUUGUCGUUGGGGUGGGGGACGAACCUUGGGAAACGUGGGGCGUAAUACCGCAUGACGCCUGUGGGCCGAAAGCUCGAGAGGGCGGCCCUGACGAGGAGCCUGCGUCCGAUUAGGUAGUUGGUUGGGUGAUGGCUGACCAAGCCUGCGAUCGGUAGCUGGUCUGAGAGGAUGGCC